rnacentral:rRNA from 1 species
AUUGAACGCUGGCGGCAUGCUUUACACAUGCAAGUCGAACGGCAGCGCGGGCUUCGGCCUGGCGGCGAGUGGCGAACGGGUGAGUAAUACAUCGGAACGUGCCCAGUCGUGGGGGAUAGCUCGGCGAAAGCCGGAUUAAUACCGCAUUCGACCUGAGGGUGAAAGCGGGGGUUCUUCGGACCUUGCGCUAUUGGAUCGGCCGAUGGCAGAUUAGCUAGUUGGUGGGGUAAAGGCCUACCAAGGCGACGAUCUGUAGCUGGUCUGAGAGGACGACCAGCCACACUGGGACUGAGACACGGCCCAGACUCCUACGGGAGGCAGCAGUGGGGAAUUUUGGACAAUGGGCGAAAGCCUGAUCCAGCAAUGCCGCGUGUGUGAUGAAGGCCUUCGGGUUGUAAAGCACUUUUGGCGGGAACGAAAAGGACUGUGCCAAUACCACGGUUCGAUGACGGUACCCGCAGAAUAAGCACCGGCUAACUACGUG